rfam:Salmo salar isolate Sally breed double haploid chromosome ssa03, whole genome shotgun sequence.
UGGCUCAGUUGGUAGAGCAUGGUGUUUGCCACGCCAGGGUUGUGGGUUCGAUUCCCAC